GUGCUUGCUUCAGCAGCACGUUGAAAAUGGGAACAUACAGAGAAGAUUAGCAUUGUCUCUGCAGAAGGAUGAGAUGUAAAUUCUUAAAGUAUUCCAUAUCUAA